rnacentral:rRNA from 1 species
UAAAACUCCGGUGGUAUGAGAUGGGCCCGCGUCUGAUUAGCUAGUUGGCGGGGUAACGGCCCACCAAGGCGACGAUCAGUAGCCGACCUGAGAGGGUGACCGGCCACAUUGGGACUGAGACACGGCCCAAACUCCUACGGGAGGCAGCAGUGGGGAAUAUUGCACAAUGGGGGAAACCCUGAUGCAGCGACGCCGCGUGAGCGAUGAAGUAUUUCGGUAUGUAAAGCUCUAUCAGCAGGGAAGAAGAUGACGGUACCUGACUAAGAAGCCCCGGCUAACUACGUGCCAGCAGCCGCGGUAAUACGUAGGGGGCAAGCGUUAUCCGGAUUUACUGGGUGUAAAGGGAGCGUAGACGGCGGUGCAAGCCAGAUGUGAAAGCCCGGGGCUCAACCCCGGGACUGCAUUUGGAACUGUAUGGCUGGAGUGUCGGAGAGGCAGGCGGAAUUCCUAGUGUAGCGGUGAAAUGCGUAGAUAUUAGGAGGAACACCAGUGGCGAAGGCGGCCUGCUGGACGAUGACUGACGUUGAGGCUCGAAAGCGUGGGGAGCAAACAGGAUUAGAUACCCUGGUAGUCCACGCCGUAAACGAUGACUACUAGGUGUCGGGCAGCAAAGCUGUUCG